GACGAACGCUGGCGGCGUGCUUAACACAUGCAAGUCGAGCGGUAAGGCCCUUUCGGGGGGUACACGAGCGGCGAACGGGUGAGUAACACGUGGGUGACCUGCCCUUAGCUCUGGGAUAAGCCUGGGAAACUGGGGUCUAAUACCGGAUAUGACUCCAUGACGCAUGUUGUGGGGUGGAAAGCCUUGUGCGGCUAGGGAUGGGCCCGCGGCCUAUCAGCUUGUUGGUGGGGUGAU
rnacentral:rRNA from 1 species